CGCUGGUGGUCAGAACUCCAGUGUACAUCUUAAUUUCUGUUGUGUACAUCUUAAUUUUUGAUUUGAUGGUAUAUAAUUUAUCAUGUUCAGUUUUUUGGGUCAUUGUUGUUUCUUCUUUGCGAGACUCGCUGGGUGUGGAAGGGGUUCAUACACAAGUUUUGCAAAUGCUAUUACGUGUUCUCAAAAGGAUAUUCAAUAUUCAUAUUUUUUUGCAUUAUGUUGUUGCUAGUAAAGAUACAACUAAUUAGUUUUGCAAUGUACAAUUGAAAUAAUAGAAGCACAAUUCCCAAUAGUUGUCACUUUAUCUCAUGGUUGGUCACAUAAUGGAGCAAUGACUAAAAUAUUAUUAAGUGAAGCAACCUAGCCUGUGAUAGCCAGCAUGUGUAUUCAGAUGUGAUGGCUUGAAAAAUGGUUAAAGGCAUGCUGAAAAUUAAACAAAGAAAGUUAAUUCUGAAGUGCUACUGGAAGACUGAGAAUUUAAGUGGAAUGCAAAGUUUCAACAAAAUGCACCAACUUGACUCACAAUUACUCAUUUGUGAGAUAAAUUUGAGGAAGCAGGAACUGUCCAGAGCGCCAACAAGAACUGUUCUGGAAGACUAUGAUCAUCCACAGUUCCACAAGAGAAAGAGAAGUCAUUGAAAGGUUUCAAUAAUCUCCUAGAAAGUCUGUGCGGCAAGGGGAAUUCCAAAGACAAGUGUCCAUCGAUUUGGAAGCAUAUCCAAUGGAAAAGUUUUAUUCCUAGAUUACUCCAGGCUCUGAAUGAGAAUGAUCAUGACUGGAAAAUUGAAUUUUGUGAGUGGUAUCAAGCAAGAUGCCCAGAGGACAAAAAAUUCCCAUACAAGGAUUUUUGGAGUGAUGAUGCCACUUUUAAGUUAAAUCAUUCAGUUAAUCGUCACAAUUAUACCUACUGGCCAGCUGAGAAUCCUCAUGUGACAGUGGAACACCAUGUGAAACUUAACAGUGGAACACCUUGUGAAUCUACCAGGAGUGUGGUGUGGUGUGUGGUUUAUCAGUAUGAGAUGUUUCAGGAUGGAGAAUGGUAUUUCCAGUUCAAUUUGAGCACCUCCCUACUACCUUGGUGAACACUUACGGACAGAUCAACAGGAGAAAGAGGCAGUACCGGGUACCCUCCACGCUCACCAGAUUUGACCUCUAUAGAUUUAUUUUUUCAGUGAGGCGGCAUGUGAAGCACAAUGCUUAUAGCACGAGACAAGUUACAAUCAGCGAGUUGAAAGUAGCCAAGUAAACUAAUGUGCCAAAAUACCAUGCAACAAUUAGCAGUGUGUUGGAUUCCAUCAAUCUGCAUUGUCAGCUGUUCAGUUUGAACACUGCUGAUAAAUAACUAGUUUCUACAUUUUCUCACAUUAUUCUUAGAUUUGAAAUUUUUUUCUGUUCCUUAAUAAAUAUUGGUGUUACAGUCAUAAAAAGAGUGAAA